AUAAUUUUCGUCAGCGAUGUGGAUAAUGAACAAAAUUUUAUAAAUCAAAUCGCAUACGACAUAUCGCAUACGACAUAUUGCAUACGAUUUGUCGCAUACGAUAUAUCGCAUUCAAUAUUAAGCACACGAAAAAUAUAAUGGGAUAUUUCUGAUAAUUAUUGAAAAACUCUACAUUUUGAAAAACGAUGUGGAUAAUGAACAAAAUUUUAUAAAUCAAAUCGCAUACGACAUAUCGCAUACGACAUAUUGCAUACGAUUUGUCGCAUACGAUAUAUCGCAUUCAAUAUUAAGCACACGAAAAAUAUAAUGGGAUAUUUCUGAUAAUUAUUGAAAAACUCUACAUUUUGAAAAACGAUGUGGAUAAUGAACAAAAUUUUAUAAAUCAAAUCGCAUACGACAUAUCGCAUACGACAUAUUGCAUACGAUUUGUCGCAUACGAUAUAUCGCAUUCAAUAUUAAGCACACGAAAAAUAUAAUGGGAUAUUUCUGAUAAUUAUUGAAAAACUCUACAUUUUG